UACGUAGGGGGCAAGCGUUGUCCGGAAUUAUUGGGCGUAAAGAGCGCGUAGGCGGUCCGAUAAGUCGGCUGUGAAAGUCAGGGGCUCAACCCCUGAAUGCCGGCCGAUACUGUCGGGCUAGAGUCCGGAAGAGGCGAGUGGAAUUCCCGGUGUAGCGGUGAAAUGCGCAGAUAUCAGGAGGAACACCAAUAGCGAAGGCAGCUCGCUGGGACGGUACUGACGCUAAGGCGCGAAAGCGUGGGGAGCGAACAGG
rnacentral:rRNA from 1 species